UUGCCAAACGAGUUGUGAAUAUAAGCUUUAUACAAUGAUCAUCUUACCAUGUUUCUCAUAAUCCAAAUCAACCACAAGGCAACCCUCAAAUUACAUUUCCUUUUCUUCUUGGUCCGUCCCAACUAUACCCACCACCACCUUAUCCACUAACCAGGACGAAGUUUUAAUACUACUAUAGUGGCUACGGCAGCUGCAUCCACUGCCGCUACAUCCAUUUAGAACCUGGUAACUUCAAAUCUUGAUUCCACAAAACUUUGGGCCUAGGUCCCUAAUUGUUUUAGUCUAAUUUCCAUUUUUUUCCUUUUGAGUGUGUUGAAUUGAAAGAAGUUUUGGUUUCUAUUUAGAAAUAACACUGAAUAAUUAUGUCUCGUAAUGUGAAUCAGCUUAGUUUUAUGAAGCCAUUAAAGAUGGAACUAAUUUUUAAGUAAUCACUAAUACUUUCUUUGGGUUUUGCCGGUUUGGAAUGAUGCAUUUUGACUUCGUUAUGUUGUUGCUGGUUUGUGGAACGUUAGCGCGCUUUCCAAGUCGUUACUAAUUCGUUUUAUGAGAAAUUUUUCUUUAUGCUAAUCUACUUUUGAUCCUUUUUAAGUGUUAGUUGUAUUGCGCAAAUCAUACUCUUGUUUUGUUCAUGAAACAUAGACUUCUUUCUGAGCU